GUGGGGAAUAUUGGACAAUGGGCGAAAGCCUGAUCCAGCCAUGCCGCGUGAGUGAUGAAGGCCCUAGGGUUGUAAAGCUCUUUCACCGGGGAAGAUAAUGACGGUACCCGGAGAAGAAGCCCCGGCUAACUUCGUGCCAGCAGCCGCGGUAAUCCGAAGGGGGCUAGCGUUGUUCGGAAUUACUGGGCGUAAAGCGCACGUAGGCGGGUCAGUCAGUUAGGGGUGAAAUCCCGGGGCUCAACCCCGGAACUGCCUUUAAUACUGCUGGUCUAGAGUUCGAGAGAGGUGAGUGGAAGUCCGAGUGUAGAGGUGAAAUGCGUAGAUAUUCGGCGGAACACCAGUGGCGAAGGCGGCUCACUGGCUCGAUACUGACGCUGAGGUGCGAAAGCGUGGGGAGCAAACAGGAUUAGAAACCCCGGUAGUCC
rnacentral:rRNA from 1 species